rnacentral:rRNA from 1 species
GUCCACGCCGUAAACGAUGAUUACUAGGUGUGGGGGACUGACCCCUUCCGUGCCGCAGCAAACGCAAUAAGUAAUCCACCUGGGGAGUACGACCGCAAGGUUGAAACUCAAAGGAAUUGACGGGGCCCGCACAAGCAGUGGAGUAUGUGGAUUAAUUCGAAGCAACGCGAAGAACCUUACCAGGUCUUGACAUCGUAUGCAUAGCUCAGAGAUGAGUGAAAUCUCUUCGGAGACAUAUAGACAGGUGGUGCAUGGUUGUCGU